CAGUGGGGAAUAUUGCACAAUGGGCGCAAGCCUGAUGCAGCCAUGCCGCGUGUAUUGAAGAAGGCCUUCGGGUUGUAAAGUACUUUCAGCAGUGAGGAAGGUGGGUAUGUUAAUAGCAUACUCAUUUGACGUUAGCUGCAGAAGAAGCACCGGCUAACUCCGUGCCAGCAGCCGCGGUAAUACGGAGGGUGCGAGCGUUAAUCGGAAUUACUGGGCGUAAAGCGCAUGCAGGUGGUUUGUUAAGUCAGAUGUGAAAGCCCGGGGCUCAACCUCGGAAUUGCAUUUGAAACUGGCAAACUAGAGUACUGUAGAGGGGGUAGAAUUUCAGGUGUAGCGGUGAAAUGCGUAGAGAUCUGAAGGAAUACCGGUGGCGAAGGCGGCCCCCUGGACAGAUACUGACACUCAGAUGCGAAAGCGCGGGGAGCAAACAGGAUUAGAUCCCCUGGUAG
rnacentral:rRNA from 1 species